AAAAGUGUAUAAUUUUCCAACAAGAUCAAAAUUAAAUACAUGCAGUAAACAAAAUCAAUAGCUAUCAUAAACAAAAAACAAGUACAAUCACAAAUUUUAUUAUUCUACGAAGGCUUCCAAUGGUUGUCAUAUCAAAAUCAACUAAUUAUUUGUCAUUUAUGAUGACAUUUUCAUAAACAUUGUUUUCGUUUUUUUGAAUCAAUUUCGAUUACAAACUUGAAAAUAAUAAUAAUUUAAUUAAUUGUUCGGGGAAUUUUUCAGUAAAAGUAACACGUUUCUCAGAAUGAAAUUGGUCUAGUGAAAUAACUUUUCGUUUUCCACGGAAAUAAACUAAGAAAGCUGUAUCGAAAGUUAUCAGAGCAUCGGGUCAGGAAAUAUCAUAACAAUGUUGGAUAAAUAAAGGCAUAUUGGUGGCAAUGAUGGGAGCAGACGGUUCACCCGUUGUAUCACGUCCCUCGAGAUGAAACGAAUGAGUACUACCCUCGCAGACUGCGAAACUUUCGCCUUUCCGCUAUAGAAACCGCAAUUUUUGAUCCCACUGUAUUCAAGCCAUAUUACUUUUUAUAUUGGUCCGAAUGGAUCGAUACAGAUCGGUCUUUCAUGUCUUUUUUUUUAUCUAUAGAAUACCAGUUUUGGAACUUCUUAUGCUUCACAAACUAUGAACAUUUUAGCUCAUUUAACCACGGCUUCGAUUAAUAUUUAGAACUUCUUAGUUUGGUAUACAAUUAGUUAAGCUUAAAAUAUUUCGCAGGUCACAGUAAAUAUAUUUCGUAAUUUAAUAUUUUAAGUAUCUUUAUCUUGCCAGUUUUGUCACGAUGGAAAUCUAGACGAACAUCGAAAGCCGUUGCUAUAGUCCAGAUUACGUCGGAAGUACAUGAUUCAAUGGAAAUAAUAAAAAGAUACAGUGUAACCGAGAUAAAUGUAGGAAUCAGAGGGCUAUUAACAUCGUUUUGCGGAUGAGCGCCGACAGUAAUUGCCGUGUCGGCGUGCGGACACAAAAUUUAUGGCGCCCACUGCGGAUAAUUGAGUCGACUCUCUAGUUACUGUGGUCUUUGCGACACCUGCCAAACACAUUCGGAGCCUCUUACAAAACCUAUUUCAUUAAUAAAAUUAGCUUCGAAAACUACUUACAUGGGUAAUACAAACCAAUUUUUUCAAAUGAUACGAUUUAUAAAGUAUAUUAAUUGAUAUGUCGUUAUCCUUCCAAUUUGCAAAAUUGCAAUACUUCUGUAAAUAACUGGAAGGGCGAAUUUGCAGUUCUCUCAAGGAAAUAUUUCCAGUAAAGUACAGCAACGUACUUGCGAGAAGCUGUAAGCGGAUUAUGAGAGGUUUCGAAGUAGGCUGCUUUGAAACUCGCAAGGAAAGCAAUAUCCAUUAUCUUGGCGGGGCUUUGUAUGCCGACCGCUGCGCAUUGUUGAUCGCCUGCAUCGCUCGCACCCAUCAAAUUGUUUGACUUAUGAGAUAGAACCCUCGAAAAACCUUAUAUUAAUAUUCGAAAUGAACCAUUAAUACAAAAUAAUUGAAUAGUCCAACAAAGAAAAUGUACAAACAGAACUUUUUUAAAUUCUUCAAACGAAAAAGCUCUCAAAUACUGUUAUCCAUCUCAUUAUACCUAUCAGGUAUUAUUAAAGUGAAUUUUUAAUUAAAGAAGGCACCUAAAAAUUUGAUUAAGAAAAAUUAGGUCGACUAUAAUGGAAAACAUUUUCGACCUUUUCGCUUUUUACAGAAUUCAUGCAAAAAUAUAUAAUGUAAUUUCAGAGUCGGGAUAGACAACGUUCAGAUAAUGAAAUAUCAACAAAGGCUCAACCACAUCUAACAAUUUUAAGCUUGGGUUUUGUUUUCUGUCUCCGGGACAUGCCGAUUUGUACCUUAUUGGAACAGUACUAGACUAGUACUUAUCUUCUCGCAUAUGCCGUAAAAAAACUACUCACUGAUCGCCAACUAGUAUUUACUGGUCGUGUCAUAAGCCUACACGGAUAGAUAUCAUUAGUCUUCGAAGAAUUCGCCCGGUUCGAAGUGUGAGACAUUUGUAACACAAUGCAAUUGAAACUUUGAUCUCAUGCCUCAAGAUGGGUGACGGCAUUCACAUCGUGAUGUCUAUGGGCUCUGGUGACAAUUUAACACCGUGUGAACUGCUAGCUCGUUUUCCCGUGCAAUAAUACCUAAUAGAAAAUUAGACCCUAGGCUUGGUCACACAUCAACUCAAUUAAACUAUUGUAUAUAAUAGAAAACUGUCACAUUUAAUAGUAAAAAAAAACAUACAUCAUUUGUGAAUAAGUCAACUAGUGUAGACUAUGGAACAGCAUUAAUUUUCUUUGUGCUUUGUACUGUGCGUUUCAUAGGGAAUGUUCUGAAGAAUUGUUGGAGAUGACAAUACUAUCUUUAUAUUACUAAUACUAUCUUAUCUUUCUACUAUUAUGUAACACGUCGCGGGAGUAAAAUUCAUACCUCCUACAAUGUUGGUUCAAGCACUUUUACAUCCUGAUAAAACAGAGAUUCAUAUUGUAAAAAAAAAAAAUAUUAUCCGUACUUACGAGCGGCACUGUCUCCACGGUGGACUUUGAUGAACUCCCUAAGCCUGUAAUCCUCGCAUAUCACGUAACUGACGCGAUGUUUUCAUGUUUAUUAUCAGGCAGGAUUAAAAGGAUAACAUGUAUUAGGCUUUUCUAGAACAUUAACUCCACCGCUGUAAAUAAACGACACACGUUACA